rnacentral:rRNA from 1 species
GACGAACGCUGGCGGCGUGCUUAACACAUGCAAGUCGAACGAAGUGGCGAACGGGUGAGUAAUACGUGGGUAACCUGCCCUCCUUUUUGGGAUAAGCCUUGGAAACGGGGUCUAAUACCGAAUAAAGGGGGAUGGGCUCGCGGCCUAUCAGCUUGUGGGUGGGGUGAUGGCCUACCAAGGCGGUGACGGGUAGCCGGCCUGAGAGGGUGACCGGCCAAAUGGGAACGGGGGUACGGGCCGAACUCCUACGGGAGGCGGAAGUGGGGGGUAUUGGACAAUGGGGGCAGGCCUGUUCCGGCCAGGCCGCGUGUGUGAGGAAGGCCUUCGGGUUGUAAAGGACUUUUGUUAGGAGAACGGUACCUAAAGAAUAAGCACCGGCUAACUACGUGCCAGCAGCCGCGGUAAUAC